AAAUGAGGGCUUAGUUGGGGAUCAUUCCUAUAGUUUGUUACCAACAAGUGAGACCACAAGUGUAAGAGAUGGAAAGUCACAAGGCGGAGCUUUUAGUGUUCUCUUCUGAAUCUGAAGCUGCCCAGUAGUGCUGCUUUCAUACAGCUGCUGCUCACCAAUGAGGAUCGUUCCUUCUCCUCAGAGAAGGUGGAAAGAGGAAAAUUGCAAACUGAGUGGC